ensembl:misc_RNA Metazoa_SRP Metazoan signal recognition particle RNA
GCCGGGCAUGGUGGCGUGUUACUGUAGUCCCAGCUACUUGGGAGGCUGAGGUGGGAGGAUCGCUUGAGCCCAGGAGUUCUGGGCUGUAGUGCGAUAUGCCGAUCGGGUGUCUGCGCUAAGUUCAGCAUCAAUAUGGUGACCUCCCGGGAGCAGGGUCCACCAGGAUGCCUAAGGAGGGGUGAACCGGCCUAGGUCAGAAACGGAGUAGGUCAAAACUCCUGUGCUGAUCAGUAGUGGGAUAGCACCUGUGAAUAGCCACUGCACUCCAGCCUGGGCAACAUAGUGAGACCCUGUCUCUA